rnacentral:misc_RNA from 1 species
UUUCCGUAGGUGAACCUGCGGAAGGAUCAUUAUUGUAUAACCGGAUUGCGAGGGCUGUCGCUGACCCGAAAGGUCGUGCACUCCCGAGUGCCCGCACACACAUCCAUCUCACCCCUAUGUGCACCACCGCGUGGGUCCCCCUUUGGCUUGUUCGGAGGGGGGCUUACGUUUUCACACAAACUUUGUAUGCUGUGUAUAAUGUAUUUUUUGUUUUUGCGAUCACGCAACCAAUACAACUUUCAACAACGGAUCUCUUGGCUCUC